ACCCCCCAUUCGCUUCCUUGAUUCAAGUUGCUUCGAAACCGCCCUCCCCUAGCGUUCGGGUCACAAAGACUUUGGAACCUUGGGAAGAGCUCACAAAGUAGUGGAGUGUGUGCUGACAGAAAGGAAAGUGACAAGGCCACGUGAAGAAGUUGAUUAAUGGAAUCAGAAACACAGGAAAAUGGUAAUCAAGGCCUGAACUGGAGUGCUGGCAAUGGGAAGAAACUGGAAGAAGGGAAGGUAAACAGCAUUAUGAGGCUGAGGCUGAGAGACAAUUUAUCCCAAUUCUCCUGUGUGCUCCCUAUCUGUAAAAGUGUUGCCUAGGGUUUCUUCAAUGAAAAUAAAACACCAAUGAUCCUUCUUAUUACCUCCAUCAGCAUAGACAACAUUCUAAUAAUAUAAGUGUUAGAACUGGGAAAAAUCUCUGAUGAUAUCUGGUUCAAUUCUCAUUUUACAAAUAAGGAAACUGAGGCCCACAAAGGGAAGGAAGGUCAUAUUUGUAAAGCUGGAAGCAAUCUUAAAGGAACCUCUUUUUGAUUUGCCAAAGAUCAGUUUGGGUGACUAAGUGGAUAGAGCAAAGACCUGAAGUCAGGGGGACUCAUCUUUAUAGUUCAAAUCUGACUUCAGACACUAGAUUUCCUGAGUGAGUCACUUAACACUGUUUGCCUCUAUUUCUUAACUGUAAAAUGAGCUAGAAAAAGAAAUGGCAAAUCACACCAGUAGUAUCUUUGUCAAGAAAAACCCAAAUGGGAUCACAAAGAGUCCAGAUGUGACUGAACAACAACAGAGUGAAUCCUGAAUCCUUUUAUAGGAGAUCCUUGAGGUAAAAAAUAUUUCCAUAAUAAUACUAAGAAAUAAAACAUUGUAUCAACAUUAAAAA